GGUUUCAUAGUGUAGUGGUUAGCACAUCUGCUUUAUACGCAGAAGGUCCUGGGCUUGUGCCCCAGUGGAGCCA
rnacentral:tRNA from 1 species